rnacentral:tRNA from 1 species
GAGGGUACAGCUCAGGUGGCAGAGUGCAUGCUUAGCAAGCACAGGGUCCUGGGUUCAAUCCCCAGUACCUCCU